rnacentral:rRNA from 1 species
UGCAUAUCAAAAAGCGGAGGAAAAGAAACCAACCGGGAUUGCCUUAGUAACGGCGAGUGAAGCGGCAAAAGCUCAAAUUUGAAAUCUGGUACCUUCGGUGCCCGAGUUGUAAUUUGGAGAGGGCAACUUUGGGGCCGUUCCUUGUCUAUGUUCCUUGGAACAGGACGUCAUAGAGGGUGAGAAUCCCGUGUGGCGAGGAGUGCGGUUCUUUGUAAAGUGCCUUCGAAGAGUCGAGUUGUUUGGGAAUGCAGCUCUAAGUGGGUGGUAAAUUCCAUCUAAAGCUAAAUAUUGGCGAGAGACCGAUAGCGAACAAGUACAGUGAUGGAAAGAUGAAAAGAACUUUGAAAAGAGAGUGAAAAAGUACGUGAAAUUGUUGAAAGGGAAGGGCAUUUGAUCAGACAUGGUGUUUUGUGCCCUCUGCUCCUUGUGGGUAGGGGAAUCUCGCAUUUCACUGGGCCAGCAUCAGUUUUGGUGGCAGGAUAAAUCCAUAGGAAUGUAGCUUGCCUCGGUAAGUAUUAUAGCCUGUGGGAAUACUGCCAGCUGGGACUGAGGACUGCGACGUAAGUCAAGGAUGCUGGCAUAAUGGUUAUAUGCCGCCCGUCUUGAAACACGGACCA